AUUGAACGCUGGCGGCAUGCUUUACACAUGCAAGUCGGACGGCAGCACAGAGAAGCUUGCUUCUUGGGUGGCGAGUGGCGCACGGGUGAGUAAUAUAUCGGAACGUACCGAGUAAUGGGGGAUAACUAAUCGAAAGAUUAGCUAAUACCGCAUAUUCUCUGAGGAGGAAAGCCGGGGACCUUCGGGCCUUGCGUUAUUCGAGCGGCCGUUAUCUGAUUAGCUAGUUGGUGGGGUAAAGGCCUACCAAGGCGACGAUCAGUAGCGGGUCUGAGAGGAUGAUCCGCCACACUGGGACUGAGACACGGCCCAGACUCCUACGGGAGGCAGCAGUGGGGAAUUUUGGACAAUGGGCGCAAGCCUGAUCCAGCCAUGCCGCGUGUCUGAAGAGGGCCUUCGGGUUGUAAAGGACUUUUGUCAGGGAAGAAAAGGCUGUUGCUAAUACCGACAGCUGAUGACGGUACCUGAAGAAUAAGCACCGGCUAACUACGUG
rnacentral:rRNA from 1 species